rnacentral:ncRNA from 1 species
GCUACGCGUUAGCAUAGAGGAGAAGUCAGCAGAGGUCAUAGUACAUACAAGCAACGAGUCGGUGACCUAAGGGAUAAGCAUCGGAGGACUCACAGCGUAUGGAAGGAC